rnacentral:rRNA from 1 species
CAAUAGCGUAUAUUAAAGUUGUUGCAGUUAAAAAGCUCGUAGUUGAACUUCAGGCCUGGUGGGCCAGUCCGCCUCACGGUGUGUACUGGUCGACUGGGCCUUACCUCUUGGUGAGCCGUCAUGUCGUUUACUCGGUGUGGCGGGGAACCAGGACUUUUACUUUGAAAAAAUUAGAGUGUUCAAAGCAGGCCUAUGCCCGAAUACAUUAGCAUGGAAUAAUAGAAUAGGACGUGCGGUUCUAUUUUGUUGGUUUCUAGGAUCGCCGUAAUGAUUAAUAGGGAUAGUUGGGGGCAUUCGUAUUCAGUCGCUAGAGGUGAAAUUCUUGGAUUGACUGAAGACGAACUACUGCGAAAGCAUUUGCCAAGGAUGUUUUCAUUAA